rnacentral:rRNA from 1 species
CGGAUUGGAGUCUGCAACCCGACUCCAUGAAGCUGGAUUCGCUAGUAAUCGCGCAUCAGCCACGGCGCGGUGAAUACGUUCCCGGGCCUUGUACACACCGCCCGUCAAGCCAUGGAAGCCGGGAGUGCCUGAAGUGCGUGACCGCAAGGAGCGUCCUAAGGCAAUACCGGUGACUGGGGCUAAGUCGUAACAAGGUACC